rnacentral:rRNA from 1 species
AGACUUCGAUCCUAGCUCAGGAUGAACACUGGCGGCAUGCUUAACACAUGCAAGUCAGAUGGGAAGUGGUGUUUCUGGUGGCGGAUGGAUAAGUAACACGUAAGAACAUGCCCUUGGGAGGGGAAAAACAGCUGGAAACGGCUGCUAAUACCCCAUAAGCUGAGGAGCAAAAGAAGGAAUCUGCUCGAGGAGGGGCUCACAUCUGAUUACCUAGUUGGUGAGGUAAUAGCUUACCAAGGCAACGAUCAGUAGCUGGCCCGAGAGGAUGAUCAGCCACACUAGGACUGAGACACAGCCCAGAAUCCUACAUGGGGUAGCAGUGAGGAAUUUUCCGCAAUGUGCAAAAGCCUAACGGAGCAGUGCCACGUGGAGGUAGAAGGCCCACUGUUCGUGAACGUUUUUUUCCCAGAGAAGAAGCAACGACGGUAUCUGGGCAAUAAGAAUUGGCUAACUCUAUGCCAGUAGCCAUGGUAAGACAGAGGAUGCAAGCAUUGUCCAGAAUGAUUGGGCAUAAAGUGUCUGCAGGUGGCUUUUUAAGUCCCUUGUCAAAUCCUAGGGCUCAACCCCGAACGGGCAGUGGAAGCUAACAAGCUGGAGUACGUAAGGGCAGGGGGAAUUUCCGGUGGAGCAGUUAAAUGCGUAGAGAUCGAAAAGAACACCAACGGCAAAAGCACCCUGCUAAACCGAUACUGACACUUAGGGAUGAAAACUAAGGGAGCGAAUGGGAUUAGGUACCCCAGUAGUCCUAGCCGUAAACAAUGGAUACUAGGGACUGUGCAUAUCGCCCCUUGCAGUGUUGUAGCUAACAUGUUAAGUAUCCUGCUUGGGGAGCACAUUCGCAAGAAUGAAACUCAAAGGAAAUGACGGGGGCCCGCAGAAGCAGUGGAGCAUGUGGUUUAAUGUGAUGCAAAGUGAAGAACCUUACUAGGGCUUGAUAUACCACGAAUCCUCUUAAAAGACAAGGUUGCCUUCGGGAACACAGACACAGGUGGUGCAUGGUUCUCGUCAGCUCAUGCCGUAAGGUGUUGGGUUAAGUCCCGCAAUGAGCAUAACCCUUGUGUUUAGUUGCUAACGUUGAGUUUGGAACCCUGAACAGACUACUGGUGUUAAGCUAGAGGAAGGCUAGGAUGAUGUCAAGUCAUCAUGCCCAUUAUGCCCUGAGCGACACACAUGCUACAAUGGCUGGGACAAAACGUCGCAAUCCCAUGAGGUGAGCUAACCCAAAAACCCAUCCUCAGUUCGGAUUACAAGCUACAACUCACCUAUAUGAAGCAGAAAUCGCUAGUAAUCGCCGGUCAGCCAUACAGUGGUGAAUUCGUUCCCGUGCCUUACACACACCGCUCGUCACACUAGGGAAGCUGGCCAUGUUCGAAGUCCGUACCUUAAUCGCAGUAAGAAGGGGGAUACCGAACGUAGGGUUAGUGACUGGAGUGAAGUCGUAACAAGGUAGCCGUACUGAAAGGUGCGAUUG